rnacentral:rRNA from 1 species
AUGAUAGAUGUUUUGGUGCAAAAAGGUCCUAAAAGCGACACGUCUAUUGAACAUGGUGAAAAAGACAAAUUGUCUAGAAGGUUUUCUGCAUUAUCAUACACUAGAGUUCUCUCAAAUGGAGUGAAGUGUGAUAGAGAAUGGCUUGUAUACACUCCUGAUGCAAGCCACCAAGAACAAAUGUCUUUGAUAAUUAGGUAUGUUGAUGCAUCUUCAGGUUCUUUUUGCAUUGAAGAAUCCUUCUUAGGUUUUUUGGAUGUGAAUGAUACGACUGGGCAAGGAUUGUUUGAUGUUCUGCUGAAGGAAUUGAAGAGUCUUGGCCUUGAUUUGGACAAUGUGAGAGGACAGGGAUAUGAUAAUGGGUCAAAUAUGAAAGGAAAAAAUAAAGGGGUACAAAACAAAGUACUGGAAGUAAACCGAAGAGCUUUUUAUUCGGCUUGUGGUUGUCAUAAUCUGAAUUUGGCACUA